GAGAGUAUAACAACUCCCAACCCAUGUGAACAUACCUAUCGUUGCCUCGGCGGAUGAGGGGCUGCCCGCUAAUGCCUACCCGGGGCUUGCUACCUGGCGCGGCAGGGUGCCUCCCGCCGCCGCGGGCCCGCGAAACUCUGUUUUAUUUUGCAACUCUGAAUCUUAAAACAAAUAAGUUA
rnacentral:misc_RNA from 1 species